UGAAUCACUGUCUCGUGAACAGGUCAUCAGCACCACCAUUUAAAUCAAGUGACACCAGAUCAACAUGGAGCCACAAGGAUGCCACCAUUAGUGCCAAUAAGUGUUACAGAUAACUCCAUAAGCUUGGGUCUGGUCCAUACGUAUUUAAAGUAAGCGGUUAGCUUUGUCAUCACAUUGGUUCUUUGUGCCCACCAUCUGGUGAACGACCUCGCUUCUUACAAAUAAAAGUUAUUUAGGAUAUUGGAUAGAACUAAUGAGUUGUUUCCGAUCCCAUUACCAUCACGCGAGAGACCAGUACAUUGAUUGCAGGCGAUA